UGCCGGGGGCUCCCAGGCCGGCGCCCGAGCUCUGGCUCCGUGUCUUCACUCCCGUGCUUGUCCGAGGAGGGAGGGAGGGACGGGGGCUGUGCUGGGGCAGCUGGAACAACGCAGGUCGCCGG
rnacentral:pre_miRNA from 1 species